UCUCCGUUGGUGAACCAGCGGAGGGAUCAUUAUAGAGUUUUAUAACUCCCAACCCUUUGUGAACUUACCUUUGUUGCCUCGGCGGGGCCUACCCGGUACCGACCCCUUUUGGGCGAAGUUACCCUGUAACGGCUGCCGGUGGACUACCAAACUCUUGUUAUUUUAUUGUAAUCUGAGCGUCUUAUUUUAAUAAGUCAAAACUUUCAACAACGGAUCUCUUGGUUCUGGCAUCGAUGAAGAACGCAGC
rnacentral:misc_RNA from 1 species